rnacentral:rRNA from 1 species
CCUACGGGUGGCAGCAGUGGGGGAUAUUGCACAAUGGGGGGAACCCUGAUGCAGCGACGCCGCGUGGGUGAAGGAGCGUUUCGGCGCGUAAAGCCCUAUCGGCAGGGAAGAAGGAGGACGGUACCUGACUAUGCAGCCUCGGCUAACUACGUGCCAGCAGCCGCGGUAAGACGUAGGGGGCACGCGUUAUCCGGAUUUACUGGGUGGAAAGGGGGCGCAGACGGCAGAGCAAGCAAGGAGUGAAAGCCCGGGGCUCAACCCCGGGACUGCGCUUGAAACUGCGCGGUUGGAGUGCAGGAGGGGCAGGCGGAAUUCCUGGUGUAGCGGUGAAAUGCGUAGAUAUAAGGAGGAACACCGGUGGCGAAGGCGGCCUUCUGGACUGCGACUGACGUUGAGGCCCGAAAGCGUGGGGAGCAAACAGGAUUAGAUACCCCUGUAGUC